CUGGGACAACAGGCAUGCACCACCAUGGCCAGCUAAUUUUUUUGUGUUUUUAGUAGAGACGGGUUUUCAUCAUGUUAGCCAGGCUGGUCUCCAACUCCUGACCUUCUGAUCCACCUGCCAUGGCCUCCCAAAGUGCUGGGAUUGCAGGUGUGAGCCACUGCGCCCUGCCCCCGAGUUUCUUGUAGAGUGAUCUUACUACCCUCUGUUUUACAGAUGAGGAAACAGAGACUCAGAGAGAUCCCAGGAAGCCAGUGGCAUAUGAAAGCACACCACCCAUCAGACAGAAACUCCGGAUGGCUGUGAGUCCAGAUGGGGGGUGCUUCCAGGGGUCCUGGGAUGAGGACAUCUGUGUUCGGGCGCUAAGAGCUGGGCAGUGACUAACAUCCCUCUGUGGUCCUGGCACCUGGUAAGUAUUCAGAGAAUGUCCACUGAGUUGAACUGAACUAGAUCGACAAACCAGGGCAGCCAAGGAGAAGAAAUCUGUAUUCUACUGGAGCCGUGGUGACCUGAGAGCAGACCGACCACCGCGCAAAGGCAGCCGUUUCAGCAGCUCCCACUCAGAGCAAGCCAUGUGCUGCGCUGGACUCUGCCUCCAGCUUGCCCAUGCCCCUAACCCCAAGUGGCCUCUGCUUACAGCAAUCCAGGAGGCUGUGGGAAAGGUGUCCCAUGAGUCUCUGGACCCUCCUAUCUCUCCCCACCUGCCCCCUUUACAAGCCAAUCCAUUCAACUGCUCCUGUGACCAGCACUCAGUGGCCAUCUCUUAAACCCUUGCUGGGAGACUGGCUGAGAAAGGGUGGCUGGGAGAGCCAGGGGCGCAGGCCAGUGAAGGGAGGAGGAGAGCUUCCGAGCAGGCUGGCGGUCAGGAAUAACUUCCAUUCAUCCCCUCAUCUCCUUUUGUCUCCCUCAGCUAAAAAAGAUAUAAACCCCUAUUGAACCCAAAGAAUCGAAGCUGAUCUGA